UACGUAGGGAGCAAGCGUUGUUCGGAUUUACUGGGCGUAAAGGGCGCGUAGGCGGCAUAUUAAGUCAUCUGUGAAAUCUCCGAGCUUAACUCGGAACUGUCAGCUGAUACUGAUGUGCUAGAGUGCGGAAGGGGCAAUCGGAAUUCUUGGUGUAGCGGUGAAAUGCGUAGAUAUCAAGAGGAACACCUGAGGUGAAGACGGGUUGCUGGGCCGACAUUGACGCUGAGUGCGCGAAAGCCAGGGGAGCAAACGGG
rnacentral:rRNA from 1 species